rnacentral:rRNA from 1 species
UACGGAGGAUGCGAGCGUUAUCCGGAUUUAUUGGGUUUAAAGGGUGCGCAGGCGGAAGAUCAAGUCAGCGGUAAAAUUGAGAGGCUCAACCUCUUCGAGCCGUUGAAACUGGUUUUCUUGAGUGAGCGAGAAGUAUGCGGAAUGCGUGGUGUAGCGGUGAAAUGCAUAGAUAUCACGAAGAACUCCGAUUGCGAAGGCAGCUUACCAGUCUGCGACUGACGCUCAGGCACGAAAGUGUGGGUAUCGAACAGG